GUAGUUGACUCGUGCGACAGACACGCUGGCGGCGUGCUUAACACAUGCAAGUCGAACGGGGCACCCUUGAAAGAGAUUUCGGUCAAUGGAUAGGAAUGCUUAGUGGCGGACGGGUGAGUAACGCGUGAGUAACCUGCCUUUCAGAGGGGGACAACAGUUGGAAACGACUGCUAAUACCGCAUAACAUAUAGGUGCCGCAUGGCACUUAUAUCAAAGAUUUAUCGCUGAGAGAUGGACUCGCGUCUGAUUAGCUAGUUGGUGGGGUAACGGCCCACCAAGGCGACGAUCAGUAGCCGGACUGAGAGGUUGGCCGGCCACAUUGGGACUGAGAUACGGCCCAGACUCCUACGGGAGGCAGCAGUGGGGAAUAUUGGGCAAUGGGCGCAAGCCUGACCCAGCAACGCCGCGUGAAGGAAGAAGGCUUUCGGGUUGUAAACUUCUUUUGACAGGGAAGAGCAGAAGACGGUACCUGUCGAAUAAGCCACGGCUAACUCUGUG
rnacentral:rRNA from 1 species